ACCUGGUUGAUCCUGCCAGUAGUCAGAUUGUCUCAAAGAUUAAGCCAUGCAUGUCUAAGUAAAAGCUUUACCAAGCGAAACUGCCGACGGCUCAUUAAAUCAGUUAUGGUUCCUUGGAGCGCAUCCCCCUACAUGGAUAACUGCGGUAAUUCUAGAGCUCAUACAUGCCAGCAAGCACCGACCUUGCGGGAGGCGUGCUCUUAUUAGGAACAAGACCAACCCGGGCCCGUCCCGGCUCCGUUGGUGAACUCUGGAUAACCUGGCCGAUUGCACAGUCCGGGCACCGGCGACGGAUCCUUCGAAUGUCUGCCAUAUUAACUUUCGAUGGUAUGUUAUGCGCCUACUAUGGUCGUAACGGGUAACGGGGAAUCAGGGUUCGAUUCCUGAGAGGGAGCUUGAGAAAUGGCUACCACAUCCAAGGAAGGCAGCAGGCAUGCAAAUUACCCACUCCCGAAACGGUGAGGUAGUGAUCAUAAACGAUGCCGACUGGCGAUCCGCCGGCGUUACUCCAAUGACGCGGCGGGCAGUCUGCGGGAAACCAAAGUCCUUGGGUUCCGGGGGAGAUAUGGUUAAGCUGAAACUUAAAGGAAUUGACGGAAGGGCACCACCAGGAGUGGAGCCUGCGGCUUAAUUUGACUCAACACGGGGAAACUCACUAGGCCCGGACACAGUGAGGAUUGACAGAUUCAGAGCUCUUUCUUGAUUCUGUGGGUGGUGGUGCAUGGCCGUGCUUAGCUGGUGGAGCGAUUUGUCUGGGUAAUUCCGAUAACGAAUGAGACUCUGGCUUGCUCAAUAGUCACGCCGGCCGCCGCGCCGGACGCUGACUUCUUAGAGGGACAAGUGGCGUUCAGCCACGCGAGAUUGACCAAUAACAGGUCUGUGAUGUCCUUAGAUGUUCGGCGCCGAGCGCACUCUACACUGAAGUUAUCAGCAGGUAGCCGCCCUUGGCCGGAAGGUCUGGGCAAUCCGUUGAACCUCAUUCGCGCUUGGGAUAGGGAGUUGCAAUUGUCUCCCUUAAACGAGGAAUUCCCAGUAAGCGCGAGUCAUCAGCUCACGUUGAUUACGUCCCUGCCCUUUGUACGUGAUCGUAAUACACCUGCAUUAAAAUUUCACAUGAUUUAGUAGAUUUCAGCAAGCAAAAAAAAAAUUGAAGUGAGGGUGAAAGGGAAACCAACACACACUUUUUUAUUAAAUGGAUUGAAAAGUUCUUUGACCUCACA
rnacentral:rRNA from 1 species